GAUGAACGCUGGCGGCGUGCCUAAUACAUGCAAGUCGAGCGAACGGACGAGAAGCUUGCUUCUCUGAUGUUAGCGGCGGACGGGUGAGUAACACGUGGAUACCCUACUUAUCAGACUGGGAUAACUUCGGGAAACCGGAGCUAAUACCGGAUAAUAUUUUGAACCGCAUGGUUCAAAAGUGAAAGACGGUCUUGCUGUCACUUAUAGAUGGAUCCGCGCUGCAUUAGCUAGUUGGUAAGGUAACGGCUUACGAAGGCAACGAUGCAUAGCCGAGCUGCGAGGGUGAUCGGCCACACUGGAACGGAGACACGGUCCUGACUCCUGCGGGAGGCAGCAGUAGGGAACCUUCCGCAAUGGGCGAAAGCCUUACGGAGCAACGCCGCGUGAGUGAUGAAGGUCUUCGGAGCGUAAAACUCGGUUAUUAGGGAAGAACAUAUGUGUAAGUAACUGUGCACAUCUUGACGGUACCUAAUCAGAAAGCCACGGCUAACUACGUG
rnacentral:rRNA from 1 species